GAUAAACGCUGGCGGCGCACAAUAAGACAUGCAAGUCGAAACGGACUUAACUUCAUUCUUUACGAUUGAAGAGCGGUUAGUGGCGGACUGGUGAGUAACACGUAAGCAACCUGCCUAUCAGAGGGGAAUAACAGCGAGAAAUCGUUGCUAAUACCGCAUAAGCUGAUAGUAUCGCAUGAUACAGUCAGAAAAGGAGCAAUCCGCUGAUAGAUGGGCUUGCGUCUGAUUAGAUAGUUGGUGGGGUAACGGCCUACCAAGUCGACGAUCAGUAGCCGACCUGAGAGGGUGAUCGGCCACAUUGGGACUGAGACACGGACCCAAACUCCGUACGGGAGGCAGCAGGUGGGGAAUAGUUGGGCAAGUGGGGGGAACCCUGACCCAGCAACGCCGCGUGGAGGAAGAAGGUUUUCGGAUCGUAAACUCCUGUCCUCAGGGAAGAGCAGAAGACGGUACCUGAGGAGGAAGCCCCGGCUAACUACGUG
rnacentral:rRNA from 1 species